GCCCUUGUAGCUCAGUUGGGAGAGCGGCUGCCUUGUAAGCAGAUGGUCCGGGGUUCUAUUCCUCGCGAGGGCA
rnacentral:tRNA from 1 species